UCUAUUACGGUUUCCGUCCGUACAGACUGCACACGCUGGUGCUGGAGGUCCCUCCUGGGCCCUGAUGGUCUUUCCCAUGCGCCCCGUCAAGUAAGCCAAACUAGUUGCUUGAAGAGCAGGUGAUUCCAGGGGCUGCUGGUCCCAGAUACAAAGCCACCCAUAUAGGGGGAACAAGAGUCCAGUGAACAGCUAGGAGCAGAGACUUUGGGGCGCUGAGGCGAUGAUCUGGGGGUGCAGCAAAGGAGAGCCAUGUCGGUGACUAGAGACUUCAGAAGACAGAAUGCUGUAAAGGCCGAGACUGAGGCUGAGAGACUUCAGAAGACAGAGUGCUGUAAAGGCCGAGACUGAGGCUGAGAGACUUCAGAAGACAGAAUGCUGUAAAGGCCGAGACUGAGGCUGAGAGACUUCAGAAGACAGAAUGCUGUAAAGGCCGAGACUGAGGCUGAGAGACUUCAGAAGACAGAAUGCUGUAAAGGCCGAGACUGAGGCUGAGAGACUUCAGAAGACAGAAUGCUCUAAAGGCCGAGACUGAGGCUGAGAGACUUCAGAAGACAGAGUGCUGUAAAGGCCGAGACUGAGGCUGGGAGACUUCAGAAGAUAGAAUGCUCUAAAGGCCGAGACUGAGGCUGGGAGACUGCUGAAGGCCAGCAGCAAGCCCUUGUCUUGGAGACCGUCAUGGGUCCUCACAGCUGCCAAGAAGCUGCCCAGAGCUGCAACGCCAGGGGCCGAGAGCCAAGUGUCCUAACGAAGCAAGAGCGACAGCAUGACCUCUGCGGGCUGGGUGCCGGGCCACCGACACUUAGAGUUCAUCAGAGCCCAGAGCUGUAACACUAAGAGCAAGGAUCUGACAGCCCCAGCUUAGAGUAGCUGGCAGAACAGCUCCACAGCUUGAAUGAAAGCAAUUGUCUCCAAAGAUGGAGACAGCCUCAACACUUACGUCCCCUUGAACGUCAGGAGGUGUGUGAGACACUGGUUUCUUUUAUCUGAUGAAUCAAUUCUCCAAAGAAUCAGUUGGGUGUCUUCUAAUUCAGUCAUUUUGCCUGUAGAUAGCAUCAGAUUCCACAGGCUAAGGGCUCAGUCCCCCAAACAGACCCACCAUUCAGCAUAGCUGAGGGUCUAGAUUCAUUGCCUGUAAUUUCCCUGUGAGAGAGAAAUAUAUAGGCCCACACAGAAUCAUAAACAUCAAUGAUAUCAUUUUGCUUAAGCCAUUACAUUUUGGGCACUUUGCAAUAAAGCGAUGUCUAAUUACAGCAAUCUGGUCACCAGAAACCAGAAGGUAUGGUUAGCUAAAGAUCCUGUGCCCAAAUGGAAACUAGUCUAAUGCCUAUACCAGGAACAAGGCAUUCAUUCCAUCACCUACAUUUAAAACCACUUAAUACUCCUCCCAAGUAGUUACCUGGCUUAGAACAUCAUAAAACAAAACAAAGAAGCUGGGUGUGAUGGUAUAUGCCUGGAACUCUAAUACUGAAGACAUUCACACAGGCAUCACAAAUCUGACGUCAGCCUGAGUUUUCUGAGGAGAUUCUGUCAAAGAAAGAAGAGGAGGGGAUAAAGAGAAAAGAGAAGAGAUAAAAGAACAGCAGAAAAUGGGACUAGCCUAACACCAUGCAGAGCAGAAAAUGUGCUCCUACCUAUCUUAAGCAGGACUGUAUGCCUCUGUCAUCUCUGUAGUUAGUGACUGUAAAGAACUCGUGUUUAUAAGAGACUGAAAACAAACGCAAUCCUAAUAGGUUAAAAAUGUUAUGUUACAUGUUAAUAAGAAAUAUAUGGGUGCCAGGCGUUGGUGGCGCACGCCUUUAAUCCCAGCACUCGGGAGGCAGAGGCAGGCGGAUCUCUGUGAGUUCAAGGCCAGCCUGGUCUACAGAGCAAGUUCCAGGACAGCCUCCAAAACAAUACAGAGAAGCCUUGUCUUGAAAAAAGAAAAGAAAUAUAUGGGUAACAGACGAAGUGGGGGCAAUACCCCAACUAGACACCACAAGCUAGCCAACAAAGUCCCCAUUACCAGGACCUCUUCUUGAGUUACUGGCCAAUGGCAUUCUAUAGACACCUAAGAAUUACCAACUAUUGUCCAUACUCUCAUUGACCUUCCAAAACCUGACAGUAAGACUCUAUUGAACUGAUACAUUGUAUGAAAUCUUAAAAAAACAAGGAAAAAGAAUGUAUGGAGAGUUGUCUCAGUGGUUAAGAUCACUUGUUGUUCUUGCAGAGGGCCUGUGUUCAAUCCCCAGCACCUUCAUGGUGGCUCAUAACCUUCUGGAACUCCAGGUCCAAGGUAUCUGACACCCUCUUUUCGGGCACCAGGUACACACGUGGUACACCCUCACGUGUGCAGGUAAACACUCACACGUUAAACAAAGAUGUCAGCAAUGAAAUCACGGCGGCUCCCUGAAGGCUGCAUGGGAGAGCAACGGCGAGGAGAGUUGUGCGGCUGUGAAGACGAGCGUGGCUUCACCUGUGCUGCUCCCUGGAUCUCAGGCAUCAACUGUCUCUAGUGAUCGUGCGGCGAUUUUCACUUCAUUUGCAAAUCGAGAUAGCUCGCUUUCUUCCUCUUUGAUUAUAUCGUUCUUUCUCGCUCCCCACCCCAGAAGCUUUGUGAGAAUUUUUAGACCCAAGUUAAGUAGGGGUGAUUGUCCUUGUCUUUAAAGAGGAAUAAUUCAUGUUUCCCCAUUAAGUGUAA